rnacentral:rRNA from 1 species
AUACGGAGGAUCCGAGCGUUAUCCGGGUUUAUUGGGUUUAAAGGGUGCGCAGGCGGGAGAUUAAGUCGGCGGUGAAAUUUUUCAGCUCAACUGUAAAAGUGCCUUCGAAACUGGUUUCCUUGAGUGUAGAUGAAGUAGGCGGAAUUUGUGGUGUCGCGGGUAAAUGCAUAGAUAUCACGAGGAACUCCGAUUGCGCAGGCAGCUUACUAAACUACUACUGACGCUCAGGCACGAAGGCGUGGGGAUCAAACAGGAUUAGAUACCCUGGUAGUCCACGCAGUAAACGAUGAUUACUAGCUGUUUGCGAUACAAUGUAAGCGGCUGAGCGAAAGCGUUAAGUAAUCCACCUGGGUAGUACGUUCGCAAGAAUGAAACUCAAAUGAAUUGACGGGG